AGCUCCAAAAGCGUAUAUUAAUGUUGCUGCAGUUAAAAAGCUCGUAGUUGGAUUUCUGGCGCUAUCGUGCUGACCCGCUGCCGGUUACGGUUGGUGUGUGUCGGUUUACGAUGUGUCAUCCUCACGGCUAGCGUGUCGGGCCUUCACUGGUUCGGCGCGUGAACUGUGACUUUUACUUUGAACAAAUUAGAGUGUUUCAAGCAGGCUUAUGCCUUGAAUACAUUAGCAUGGAAUAAUAAUCUAGGACUUCGGUUCUAUUUUGUUGGUUUCUAGAGCUGAAGUAAUGAUUGAUAGGGAUAGUUGGGGGUGCUCGUAUUCAAAGGCCAGAGGUGAAAUUCUUGGAUUCCUUGAAGACGAACUUAUGCGAAAGCAUUCACCAAAGAUAUCUUCU
rnacentral:rRNA from 1 species